CCUACGGGAGGCUGCAGUGGGGAAUAUUGCACAAUGGGGGAAACCCUGAUGCAGCGACGCCGCGUGAGUGAAGAAGCGUUUCGGAGCGUAAAGCUCUGUCAGCGGGGAAGAAAGACGGUUCGCGAGAGCCGCGGACGGUACCCGAGAAAGAAGCCCCGGCCAACUACGUGCAAGCAGCCGCGGUAAUAGGUAGGGGGCAGGCGUUAUGCGGAUUGACCGGGUGGAAAGGGAGCGUAGACGGCGAGACAAGUCUGGAGUGAAAGGCCGGGGCCCAACCCCGGGACUGCUCUGGAAACUGGCUGGCUGGAGUACAGGAGAGGUAAGUGGAAUUCCUAGUGUAGCGGUGAAAUGCGUAGAUAUUAGGAGGAACACCAGUGGCGAAGGCGGCUUACUGGACUGUAACUGACGUUGAGGCUCGAAAGCGUGGGGAGCAAACAGGAUUAGAUACCCUUGUAGUC
rnacentral:rRNA from 1 species